rnacentral:rRNA from 1 species
GCCCUUGCUCAGUAACACGUGGAUAACUUACCCUUAGGACUGGGAUAACUCUGGGAAACUGGGGAUAAUACCGGAUAUUAUGCUAUGUCUGCAAUGGUUUGCCUUUGAAAUGUUUUUUUUCGCCUAAGGAUAGAUCUGCAGCUGAUUAGGUCGUUGGUGGGGUAAUGGCCCACCAAGCCGAUGAUCGGUACGGAUUGUGAGAGCAAGGGCCCGGAGAUGGAACCUGAGACAAGGUUCCAGACCCUACGGGGUGCAGCAGGCGCGAAACCUCCUCAAUGUACGAAAGUGCGACGGGGGGAUCCCAAGUGUUAUGCUUAAAGGUAUGACUUUUCAUUAGUGUAAAAAGCUUUUAGAAUAAGAGCUGGGCAAGACCGGUGCCAGCCGCCGCGGUAACACCGGCAGCUCGAGUGGUAGCUGUUUUUAUUGGGCCUAAAGCGUUCGUAGCCGGUUUAAUAAGUCUUUGGUGAAAGCUUGUAGCUUAACUAUAAGAAUUGCUGGAGAUACUAUUGGACUUGAAGUCGGGAGAGGUUAGAGGUACUACCGGGGUAGGGGUGAAAUCCUAUAAUCCUGGGAGGACCACCUGUGGCGAACGCGUCUAACUGGAACGAUCUUGACGGUGAGUAACGAAAGCCAGGGGCGCGAACCGGAUUAGAUACCCGGGUAGUCCUGGCCGUACAUCGAUGUGGACUUGGUGUUGGAAUGGCUUUGAGUUGUUCCGGUGCCGAAGGGAAGCUGUUAAGUCCACCGCCUGGGAAGUACGGUCGCAAGAUUGAAACUUAAAGGAAUUGGCGGGGGAGCACAAGGGC